AGAACGAACGCUGGCGGCAUGCCUAAUACAUGCAAGUCGAACGAACUCUUCGGAGUUAGUGGCGCACGGGUGCGUAACGCGUGGGAAUCUGCCCUUGGGUUCGGAAUAACAGUUGGAAACGACUGCUAAUACCGGAUGAUGACGAAAGUCCAAAGAUUUAUCGCCCAGGGAUGAGCCCGCGUAGGAUUAGCUAGUUGGUGAGGUAAAGGCUCACCAAGGCAACGAUCCUUAGCUGGUCUGAGAGGAUGAUCAGCCACACUGGGACUGAGACACGGCCAGACUCCUACGGGAGGCAGCAGUAGGGAAUAUUGGACAAUGGGCGAAAGCCUGAUCCAGCAAUGCCGCGUGAGUGA
rnacentral:rRNA from 1 species